rnacentral:rRNA from 1 species
UGGGGAAUAUUGGACAAUGGGCGAAAGCCUGAUCCAGCCAUGCCGCGUGAGUGAUGAAGGCCCUCGGGUUGUAAAGCUCUUUUAGCUGGGAAUAUAAUGACGGUACCCGCAGAAUAAGCCCCGGCUAACUUCGUGCCAGCAGCCGCGGUAAUACGAAGGGGGCUAGCGUUGCUCGGAAUCACUGGGCGUAAAGGGCGCGUAGGCAGCCAUUCAAGUCGGGGGUGAAAGCGCAGGGCUUAACCCUGGAAUUGCCUUCGAUACUGGUUGGCUAGAGACCAGAAGAGGAGAGUGGAACUGCGAGUGUAGAGGUGAAAUGCGUAGAUAUUCGCAAGAACACCAGUGGCGAAGGCGGCUUACUGGUCCGGUUCUGACGCUGAGGCGCGAAAGCGUGGGGAGCAAACAGG